UCCGCGGCCACCGCCUACAAGGCUCAGUUUCUUGGACUGACACUUUCGCCCAUGGACUUUAUGAUCUGGAAGGCUUGGGCCCCUCCUAAGAUCAAGUUUUUUGCUUGGUUGGCUAUCCAAGACCGGAUUUGGACAGCCGACAGAUUGGAGCGGCGCGGUUGGCAAAACUGUGGACUUUGCCCGCUUUGCAAACGUGUUGGCGAGACGGGUGCACACCUCUUCUACAAAUGCCGCUACACCAUAAGGCUAUGGAACUCGGUCAUCCUUGAAUUUGGUCUAGCGCACAUGGACACCUCCUCUUGGCAUUUGGAUGGAUCCGUUUUGGAAUGGUGGGAAAAGCGAACCUGCUUGCAAAACCCAAACCGACGAGCCUUGGCCUCACUUACAAUGCUAGUCUCUUGGACGAUCUGGAACGAGCGUAAUGCUCGGGUCUUCCGACACAAGAGCGCACCGCCUCCGGUCCUUCUCCAUGCUAUCAUCAACGACGUCAAGCUUUGGGUUCUCGCGGGAGCAAAAAAACUGGGGUGU
rnacentral:rRNA from 1 species